AUCGAACGCUGGCGGCAGGCCUAACACAUGCAAGUCGAACGGUAACAGGAAGCAGCUUGCUGCUUUGCUGACGAGUGGCGGACGGGUGAGUAAUGUCUGGGAAACUGCCUGAUGGAGGGGGAUAACUACUGGAAACGGUAGCUAAUACCGCAUAACGUCGCAAGACCAAAGAGGGGGACCUUCGGGCCUCUUGCCAUCGGAUGUGCCCAGAUGGGAUUAGCUUGUUGGUGGGGUAACGGCUCACCAAGGCGACGAUCCCUAGCUGGUCUGAGAGGAUGACCAGCCACACUGGAACUGAGACACGGUCCAGACUCCUACGGGAGGCAGCAGUGGGGAAUAUUGCACAAUGGGCGCAAGCCUGAUGCAGCCAUGCCGCGUGUAUGAAGAAGGCCUUCGGGUUGUAAAGUACUUUCAGCGGGGAGGAAGGGAGUAAAGUUAAUACCUUUACUCAUUGACGUUACCCGCAGAAGAAGCACCGGCUAACUCCGUG
rnacentral:rRNA from 1 species